rnacentral:rRNA from 1 species
GAUGAACGCUGGCGGCGUGCCUAAUACAUGCAAGUCGAGCGAACGGACGAGAAGCUUGCUUUUCUGAUGUUAGCGGCGGACGGGUGAGUAACACGUGGAUAACCUACCUAUAAGACUGGGAUAACUUCGGGAAACCGGAGCUAAUACCGGAUAAUAUUUUGAACCGCAUGGUUCAAAAGUGAAAGACGGUCUUGCUGUCACUUAUAGAUGGAUCCGCGCUGCAUUAGCUAGUUGGUAAGGUAACGGCUUACCAAGGCAACGAUGCAUAGCCGACCUGAGAGGGUGAUCGGCCACACUGGAACUGAGACACGGUCCAGACUCCUACGGGAGGCAGCAGUAGGGAAUCUUCCGCAAUGGGCGAAAGCCUGACGGAGCAACGCCGCGUGAGUGAUGAAGGUCUUCGGAUCGUAAAACUCUGUUAUUAGGGAAGAACAUAUGUGUAAGUAACUGUGCACAUCUUGACGGUACCUAAUCAGAAAGCCACGGCUAACUACGUGCCAGCAGCCGCGGUAAUACGUAGGUGGCAAGCGUUAUCCGGAAUUAUUGGGCGUAAAGCGCGCGUAGGCGGUUUUUUAAGUCUGAUGUGAAAGCCCACGGCUCAACCGUGGAGGGUCAUUGGAAACUGGAAAACUUGAGUGCAGAAGAGGAAAGUGGAAUUCCAUGUGUAGCGGUGAAAUGCGCAGAGAUGUGGAGGAACACCAGUGGCGAAGGCGACUUUCUGGUCUGUAACUGACGCUGAUGUGCGAAAGCGUGGGGAUCAAACAGGAUUAGAUACCCUGGUAGUCCACGCCGUAAACGAUGAGUGCUAAGUGUUAGGGGGUUUCCGCCCCUUAGUGCUGCAGCUAACGCAUUAAGCACUCCGCCUGGGGAGUACGACCGCAAGGUUGAAACUCAAAGGAAUUGACGGGGGCCCGCACAAGCGGUGGAGCAUGUGGUUUAAUUCGAAGCAACGCGAAGAACCUUACCAAAUCUUGACAUCCUUUGACAACUCUAGAGAUAGAGCCUUCCCCUUCGGGGGACAAAGUGACAGGUGGUGCAUGGUUGUCGUCAGCUCGUGUCGUGAGAUGUUGGGUUAAGUCCCGCAACGAGCGCAACCCUUAAGCUUAGUUGCCAUCAUUAAGUUGGGCACUCUAAGUUGACUGCCGGUGACAAACCGGAGGAGGGUGGGGAUGACGUCAAAUCAUCAUGCCCCUUAUGAUUUGGGCUACACACGUGCUACAAUGGACAAUACAAAGGGCAGCGAAACCGCGAGGUCAAGCAAAUCCCAUAAAGUUGUUCUCAGUUCGGAUUGUAGUCUGCAACUCGACUACAUGAAGCUGGAAUCGCUAGUAAUCGUAGAUCAGCAUGCUACGGUGAAUACGUUCCCGGGUCU